CAGCUUCCUCAGCCUUUUCUACAGGUCCUGAUUACUGAUGGGGCUGCACCUGGAGGGAGUCAAUCAGGUGUGGAAUUCCCCUUGAGAUGCAGAACAGUGAAGUGGAAUAAAGCAGAGCGAGACGGG